rnacentral:lncRNA from 1 species
GGCGUAGGUGAGCAGGAAGUGGCCCGGCUGGCGCGCCCAGCGCGGCUGGCCCUCGAAGAAGGCGAAGCGGGCGGUGGCGUUCGGUUGGAGGUGCAGGUCCGGGACGCCGCAGCGCGGGGUGGCGAGGAGGUCGAGGGUGCGGUUGUCGAGGCGGCCGGUGACGGGGAGGCCGAGGGUGGACUGGUAGAGCCUCACCACGAGCUGGCCGUCGGCGUCGUCAGGGACGGAGGCGUAGCCGAAGCGCGCGAGGUAGCGCCUGAGGCCGUCGGUGACGUUGGCGCCGUCGCCGGCCUGGACCUGGAGCAUGUCCGCGAGAGAGGAGGAGGAGGAGGAGUUGGCGCCGGCGUGGAGGAGGAGGUGGCGGGAGCAGCCGGUGCAGCAUGGCGGAAACAGGAGGAGGAGGAGGUGCAAGAAGAAGAAGGGGAGGGGGAGGGGGAGAGCAGAGGAGGAGGACAUGGGCGCGCGCGCAUGCGUGCGUGUAUGGGUGGACUGGCCGGACUCCCACUUUGACUGCAGAUUUGCAUAUAAAGAAGAGGAGAAGGAGGAGGAAUGUCGAGUCGAGGGUCUACUUGUGUUGGGCCAAGCCGCACAAACCAGUAGACAAAUAAUAAUGCUUGGGAAAAGGAGCAAGAGAAUAUGGACAUGGGGUGUCCGUUGAUUGGAGCUUGCUGCGUGUCCUCUCCUCUUCUCAGACGGAGCUUUCACUUUGAGCUUGAGCUUGGUGGCCACCUGCUGUGCCAUCUAUCUUUUUUUUCCUGGCACCUGCUGACCUGCGCUGCGCCCUCGAUCAAUCAUGCAUCCGAUUAAGAGAUGCUGCAGGCAGACAACAUCCAUCAGCAGACCAAAGCGGCAUUUGUGCCGCCUGCCCAGCCCUAUGAAGCUGAUGCCUGGUCUCCUCUCUUUGGUCUUUGGAGUAUGGAUGUGUCCUACUCCUUCCUACCCUGCUCUUCAUCUCCUUGGUCUUCAUUCAGCUAAAAACUUGCUUUCUCAGCACACACAAAGCAAUCUACUCCCCAGACAAUUAGCAUGGCCCGUCCAAGCCCAACCUUGGCGCCGUCGCCGUCCCGGAGCAUGUCGGUGACCGUCAAGGAGGAGUUGCCGCCCGCCGUGGAGAAGAAGAGGAAGAAAAGAAGAAAUGGGCUUGGAACUUACGCCUGUCCUCUCCUCUGCUCUGCUCCCAUAGUUCGUUGCCACCUGCGCUGCGUGAGUCCGCAUCCGGUUGAGAGAUGAUGCUGCACUGCAGACGACAUCACUGUCAUCAUCAGCAUCACUAUGGUGUCUGCACACUGAAAUCGAAAUAUAUACUCCUCUAGCUAAUACGUAUCUUAGCACUAUCUUUCUGAAGCCGAUGGAUGGUCGAUCGGUCUUAUUUGGACGGACACGCCUCAACCCUGACAGCUGAUUCUGUGGGGAUUUGCUUUAUUUCACUAACAAGUACACCAAUAAGUGUCCCACUUUAUGUUCCUUUCAUUGUUGACCUCUAAUUCCUCCUCUCUCUUUUUUUACACAAUGUCCCAACCAUCACCCUUAUAUAUCCCAUGUAAUAUACGGGUACAAUAUUAAGUUUCUAGAUAGACUUAGAAGUUGAGGGAACGACCUAAGCUUCUUUCUGCAGUUCCAAAUUUGAUCCAAAGCAUUAUGGAACGAAGGGAGUACUUUAGCUUCAUCAUACAAUUAACCUUUUAGAUAUGCAUGGUACCUCCCCACCACCCUUAUAUCUAUCUAAGAUACCUUACCUCACCAGACCAGACCAGACAGACACAGGUUUAGCCAAACAAACUCAGCCUCUUUCCGCAGCUUGUUCCCUCGUACUUUUGUUGUUUCAUAAAAGCCAAAACAAAACAAGAUAAAAUAGUACCAUCUUGAGGUGAGCCAACUUUCUCAGCAAACAGAAAGGGAACUCGUUACUACAGUUGCAUUGGAGGGCUCGAGGCAAUCAAUAUGACCCCCGUCCCAGUGUCCCACCCACCCCAAUCUUGACUCGUCCCUUCUUUCUUUCUCUCACAAAUUCAUCAUCAUAUAUAGACACACAGGCUACACAUAGAAUUUCUCAACAUCUAGGAGUACGUACCUAUCCAUAGAAUGAUGCCAUGCCAGCUAGUAAAGCCUGAAACCUCGGAGACACUAGAUAGGCUGGUCGUAAUGAUAGUAUCAUAACUAGUAUCAUACAUGCCAACUAGACAAUUUUGAUGAGAUAGCAUAGCUUUAAAUGAAGAAAGAAAAGGUGUAGUAUCAUAUCAUGAUACCAUAUCAUAAUAAAUGUUAUGCUACUUUGUGUCAUGCAUGGCAAUAAAUAAAAUAUUAUAUGAUACUAAUAUAUGAUGCUAUGCAUUAGGGAGGUAGUAUCAUACACUAGUAUCAUAUACAUGAUAUCAGUAUAUGAUACUCCUCAUUACAACCAGCCUAGCCUAGUAGGUGAGCAGGAAGUGGCCCGGCGGGCGCGCCCAGCGCGGCUGGCCCUCGAAGAAGGCGAAGCGGGCGGUGGCGUUCGGUUGGAGGUGCAGGUCCGGGACGCCGCAGCGCGGGGUGGCGAGGAGGUCGAGGGUGCGGUUGUCGAGGCGGCCGGUGACGGGGAGGCCGAGGGUGGACUGGUAGAGCCUCACCACGAGCUGGCCGUCGGCGUCGUCAGGGACGGACGCGUAGCCGAAGCGCGCCAGGUAGCGCCUGAGGCCGUCGGUGACGUCGCCGGCCUGGACCUGGAGCAUGUCGGCGAGCGAGGUGGAAUAGUUGGCGCCGGCAUGGAAAAGGAGGUGCCGGGAGCAGCAGCGGCAGCAUGGAGGGAACAGGAGGAGGAGGAGGAGGAAGAGGAAGGGGAGAGGGGAGGAGGAGGACAUGGGCGCGCGCGCAUGCUAUGCGUGUAUGGGUGGACUGGACUACUGGACUCCCACUUUGACUGCAGAUUUGCAUAUAAAGAAGAAGAAAGAGGAGGAGGAGGAAUGUCG